AUUGAACGCUGGCGGCAUGCCUUACACAUGCAAGUCGAACGGUAACAGGUCUUCGGACGCUGACGAGUGGCGAACGGGUGAGUAAUACAUCGGAACGUGCCCGAUCGUGGGGGAUAACGAAGCGAAAGCUUUGCUAAUACCGCAUAAGAUCUACGGAUGAAAGCAGGGGACCGCACGGCCUUGCGCGAACGGAGCGGCCGAUGGCAGAUUAGGUAGUUGGUGGGAUAAAAGCUUACCAAGCCGACGAUCGGUAGCUGGUCUGAGAGGACGACCAGCCACACUGGGACUGAGACACGGCCCAGACUCCUACGGGAGGCAGCAGUGGGGAAUUUUGGACAAUGGGCGAAAGCCUGAUCCAGCCAUGCCGCGUGCAGGAUGAAGGCCUUCGGGUUGCAAACUGCUUUUGUACGGAACGAAAAGACUCUUUCUAAUAAAGAGGGUCCAUGACGGUACCGUAAGAAUAAGCACCGGCUAACUACGUGCCAGCCGCCGCUGUAAAAC
rnacentral:rRNA from 1 species